rnacentral:rRNA from 1 species
UACGCAGCUUGCUGCGUGUAUGGUUAGUGGCAGACGGGUGAGUAAUGCAUAGGAAUCUACCUAGUAGUAUGGGAUAGCCACUAGAAAUGGUGGGUAAUACUGUAUAAUCCCUGCGGGGGAAAGAUUUAUCGCUAUUAGAUGAGCCUAUGUCAUAUUAGCUAGUUGGUGGGGUAAUGGCCUACCAAGGCGGUGAUCUGUAGCUGGUCUGAGAGGAUGAUCAGCCACACUGGAACUGAGACACGGCCCAGACUCCUACGGGAGGCAGCAGUGGGGAAUAUUGGACAAUGGGCGCAAGCCUGAUCCAGCUAUGCCGCGUGAGUGCGGAAGGCCUUA